UCCAUAGCGAGCGAGCGAGCGGUCGGGCUAGGGCCACAGCGAUCGAGCAAGAGGAAAAAGCAGUCGAACCCUAGCCCCAAUCCACAGCCCCGCGCCCCUCACUCCUCCCUCCCUCGUCUGCCGCCACUCCCUCCCACCUCCUCCUCCUAUGCCCUAGGAGCCCCGCCGCCUACUGCUACUCCUCCACCGCCUCGCCUCUUCCUCCUCCUUACCUGCCCAUCGCUCGUCUUCAGGCUGCAGUGGUGGUUCCCGAUCUGAGCCGUCUUCAGGUGCGUGGAGCGACGGAGGUCGGCUCCCUCCUUCUCCACGGUCUCGCGGCGGGAGAGGAGUCAGCCCCGGUGCUCUGCCUCUCCAUCCGUCUCCGCAAGCCAUCGUCCGAUGCCGUCGUUGCCCGCCAUCAUCUUGCUCGCUGCGUGCUUGCUAGAGAGCCAUGGCUUUCCUCACUGUAGGUUCUGCCAUGGCUUUUCUUGUCCCGUCUCACUCGCCUCCCCCUCCUCGUCACCCUCCUCUCUCUCUCUCCCCCGCGGCUACGAUUCAGGCUAGGGUUCAGGCGCCUUCCCUUCUCUCCUCCUCUACCCAACGCCGCCUCCCCUCCUUUCUCUCCUUCUCCACUAACGAGGCCGGGGCGGCGGCGCGGACAAGAAACUGUGGGCUCUCCUCCGCAAAUCUCUACCGGGACGACGGUAGCCCGAGGAGGAUCCCCGGUCAACGGCGCCCCGGGCGCUCACUGCCAAGAAGCCGCCGGAGGAGGAACUCGACCUGGACGACCGCCGCUGGACGAAGAGCCCCGAAAAAAUCCCCCAACCACCCCUGCGCCACCGCCUCUUCACCUUCGACCACGGGUUGCAACGGUCAGAGGACCAAGUUGGAGCAUACUAGGCAAAUGGGCCUUGCCGUGAGUCGUGGUGCAACAGUGACCUCGAUGGGCAGGGCAAUGGUCAGAUACGAGUCAGCACCGAAGAUGACUGUAAGCACUCAAAAAAGUUUACCACGCUAGAGCUAUGUCAGGUUGUAUGAGGGCAGUUAAUGAAUAUACUUGUGACACUUAAACUCUCAGGCAAGCUUGCUCUCAGCAAUGCCGACAAACAUGGUUUAUGAUGAUAUUGGUGGUCUGAAGCUUUAGAUCGUCGGGGCUGCUCUCAUUCGUUCAAUUUGCCAGUGAUCCUUCCAUUCUACUGUUGCUCAUUAUUAUCAUAUGAAGGAGGUGUUCUUCCGUUACAAUACUCCUGACGUGUUUCAUGAAAUGUCUAUGAGCUGGUAUGUUGUUCAUUCUCUUUUUUUUCUUCUUGCAGGCUGAUCUAUGUUCUCUGUUUGUUGGGUCCUCCGUGUCAUUAUCAACAAGGAACAUGUAUAUCCUUUCAAGUUCACUGAUGUGGUUACCACUACAACACACGUCCCUCCAAGGACCAAGGGUGGGCAUGAUCUUCUACAAGGUUGUUGUCUGUGACUAUUAGUACAGGAUCAACUUUGCGGUGUCCCCAUCGCUUCAAGUCAAGCUAAUAGAGCUAAAUGGGUAUCCAAUUUUAGAAAGCACACUUAAGAAACAUGCACACGUGUCUUUAGAUCCUAUGGAGCAUUCCUAAUAAUGACCAUCUAUUUAACUAUCUUGGAUCAUUACCAUUACAAAAUGCAGCAUGACAUUCAUAAUGUUCACUUAUUCAUAAAUGUGGCAUUUAAUUAUUCUCCUGGCAUUUAAUUAUUACCGUCUGUUGAUAAUUCAAUUAUUGAUUCUGAUGUACAAACAUGCAAAACCAUUGCCUGUUUGGAUGAUGCACAUGAGUAUGUUUUUGUUAGUUUUAGGUGAUGUACGUCGUGAAGCGGGACGGGCGGACGGAGACGGUGCACUUCGACAAGAUCACGGUGCGGCUAAAGAAGCUCAGCUAUGGGCUCAGCCAGGAGCACCGCGACCCCGUGCUCGGUCUGCGUCAGGGUAUACAUGGGUGUCACCACCAGCCAGCUCGACGAGCUCGCCGCCGAGACCGCCGCCCCGCUCACCGCCUCCCAGCCAGACUAUGCCUCCCUUGCGGCGAGGAUUGUUGUGUCCAACCUGCCGCCAAGUGGAAAUAGUCUGUGUGGCGCUCGUAAAUAGAGAGCAUUUUGGUAGAAAGAUGAAUAUUAGCGAGACUGGCUAAAUUCUGAACAUGUUCCAUGUGAGAGAAAUAGCAUGUUGAUUUCAUCUUGAAAUAAUCAUAGCUGAGGGACGAGCUUAGUAACUGAGGGUCAUGUGUAAAGCUGAAGGAAGAAGUUGCGAGGCUUGGAACUCUCCUUGUGAAGGGCUCAGGGGCAGCAGUGAGGACAAUGCCUCUUUAGUUGUAAUUGUGAUACUCCUGAUUUGCAAGUAAACACUCAUGUGAUACUAAAUAUUGGUUGUUAGUACAAAGGUGGUGACAUUAGUUGGUUCCCUGGUAUUGAUUUCAUGAUUUGUGGUUAAUACAUGAUGUAAUACAAUCCACACUGCAUUAUAUUUCCAGUUACAUCUCUUA